GGCAGUGUACCAUAGUGGUAAGGAGUAGGACUCAUAACCGAAAGGUUGCUGGUUCGAUCCCUCGCUGUAG
rnacentral:tRNA from 1 species